rnacentral:rRNA from 1 species
ACUGCUCAGUAACACGUGGAUAACCUGCCCAAGGGUCUGGGAUGACCCCGGGAAACUGGGGAUAAUACCGGAUGGAUCACUAGUGCUGGAAUGCUUGGUGGUCGAAAGGUAACGCCUUUGGAUGGGUCUGCGGCGGAUUAGGUUGACGCCGGUGUAACGUACCGGCGUGCCUGUAAUCCGUACGGGUUGUGGGAGCAAGAGCCCGGAGAUGGAUUCUGAGACACGAAUCCAGGCCCUACGGGGCGCAGCAGGCGCGAAAACUCUACAAUGCAGGCAACUGCGAUAGGGGGACAUCGAGUGGCAUCCACCUUGGGUGCCUGUCCAACCGUCUAAAAAACGGUUGUUAGCAAGGGCCGGGUAAGACCGGUGCCAGCCGCCGCGGUAAUACCGGCGGCUCGAGUGGUGGCCGAUAUUAUUGAGUCUAAAGGGUCCGUAGCCGGCUUUGCAAGUCCCCUGGGAAAUCCAGCGGCUUAACCGUUGGGCUUUCAUGGGAUACUACAUUGCUUGGGACUGGGAGAGGUAGGAGGUACUCGGGGGGUAGGGGUGAAAUCCUGUAAUCCUCCGGGGACCACCGGUGGCGAAGGCGUCCUACCAGAACAGGUCCGACGGUGAGGGACGAAAGCUAGGGGCACGAACCGGAUUAGAUACCCGGGUAGUCCUAGCCGUAAACGAUGCCCGCUAGGUGUCACGACGGUCGUGAAUCGUCGUGGUGCCGUAGGGAAGCCGCGAAGCGGGCCACUUGGGAAGUACGGCCGCAAGGCUGAACUUAAGGAAUUGGCGGGGGAGCAC